rnacentral:lncRNA from 1 species
UAAAAGUGACAAUUGUUUUCUUGUGGGUUUUUUUGUUUGUUUGUUUGGUAUAAUUACCAACUAAGUCAAAUAUCUCAAACCAUUGUCUAUCUAGAAAUGUGGCCCAGGACAAGAUCAAACCAUCGUACAGUGGCACAAAUUCUAGCUCAUACUAAAAGUGCCUAUUACAGAACACACACUGUUCAGUUGUUGAGCAUACACAUCCAGCUGUUGGAUGUAUGCCUGGAUCCAAAAUGCUCAAAUUGGUUGCUCAAAACAGAAAUCAAAAAGAAGGUAAGAGAGAAAAGAAGAAGAUGAAGAAUUCUGCAAGAGAAAGUAGAGGCAGAGAAAGAAAGGAGAAAAAGAGGAAAUACCAUGGCAGAGAUGAGUCAACAGAUCAUUCCAGGCCUUUCUUGGUGUUCCUGGCCAUCUGCCUGACAUCCAGAGUUGCCUGCAUUCUGACAAGACAGAGUGGCUCACCUAGCUUCAGAACAACAUCAGAAGUGCCAACACAAAGUAGACCAGAUACACUAUCCAAAAUACCCCUCCGUGGUUAUUCCAAACCAGGACGAAGCCAGGAGUUGUUCCAAAAAUAUAUCACUAUAUUUUGGCCUGAGUGUCACUUCCCCACUUGGCAAGCUAGGGCUAGAGAAAUUGGAACAGAGAUUUCCUGUUAGCCUGUCUUAUAUUCUCUCCUUUCAGAUAUACAUCCUUUCAGAUANGAACAGAGAUUUCCUGUUAGCCUGUCUUAUAUUCUCUCCUUUCAGAUAUACAUCUUUUACUUGUCCCAUCUCUAAUAUGACACAGUUGCCUCAGCUUUUACAAUUAUUUAUAGCGUAUCAGAAAGGAGCAGAAGCUCUACAUUUUGUCUUUGAUCUGCCCCAGAAGAAUUUCAGCCAAACUGUUCCCUUCACACUAAACAAAUGUUAUUCAGUGAAUAAAUGAUC